GACGAACGCUGGCGGCGUGCUUAACACAUGCCAGUCGAACGGAAAGGCCCUGCUUUUGUGGGGUGCUCGAGUGGCGAACGGGUGAGUAACACGUGAGUAACCUGCCCUUGACUUUGGGAUAACUUCAGGAAACUGGGGCUAAUACCGGAUAGGAGCUCCUGCUGCAUGGUGGGGGUUGGAAAGUUUCGGCGGUUGGGGAUGGACUCGCGGCUUAUCAGCUUGUUGGUGGGGUAGUGGCUUACCAAGGCUUUGACGGGUAGCCGGCCUGAGAGGGUGACCGGCCACAUUGGGACUGAGAUACGGCCCAGACUCCUACGGGAGGCAGCAGUGGGGAAUAUUGCACAAUGGGCGGAAGCCUGAUGCAGCAACGCCGCGUGCGGGAUGACGGCCUUCGGGUUGUAAACCGCUUUCGCCUGUGACGAAGCGUGAGUGACGGUAAUGGGUAAAGAAGUACCGGCUAACUACGU
rnacentral:rRNA from 1 species